UACAGAGGUGGCAAGCGUUGUUCGGAAUUACUGGGCGUAAAGGGCGCGUAGGCGGUCUUGUAAGUCUCGUGUGAAAUCCCUCGGCUUAACUGAGGAACUGCACGGGAUACUGCAUGACUUGAGAUCGGGAGAGGGAAGCGGAAUUCCGGGUGUAGCGGUGAAAUGCGCAGAUAUCAGGAGGAACACCGAUGGCGAAGGCAGGUCUCUGGGCAUUAACUGACGCUGAGGAGCGAAAGCGUGGGUAGCGAACAGG
rnacentral:rRNA from 1 species